AUUGAACGCUGGCGGAAUGCUUUACACAUGCAAGUCGAACGGCAGCACGGGGCAACCUGGUGGCGAGUGGCGAACGGGUGAGUAAUACAUCGGAACGUGCCCAAUCGUGGGGGAUAACGUAGCGAAAGUUACGCUAAUACCGCAUACGAUCUACGGAUGAAAGCGGGGGAUCGCAAGACCUCGCGCGAAUGGAGCGGCCGAUGUCAGAUUAGGUAGUUGGUGGGGUAAAGGCUCACCAAGCCAACGAUCUGUAGCUGGUCUGAGAGGACGACCAGCCACACUGGAACUGAGACACGGUCCAGACUCCUACGGGAGGCAGCAGUGGGGAAUUUUGGACAAUGGGCGCAAGCCUGAUCCAGCCAUUCCGCGUGCAGGAUGAAGGCCUUCGGGUUGUAAACUGCUUUUGUACGGAACGAAAGGUCCUGGUUAAUACCUGGGGCUCAUGACGGUACCGUAAGAAUAAGCACCGGCUAACUACGUGCCAGCAGCCGCGGUAAGCUACGU
rnacentral:rRNA from 1 species